AAGGAAUAUUGGACAAUGGCCGCAAGGCUCAUCCAGCCAUGCCGCGUGAAGGAUGAAGGUGCUAUGCAUUGUAAACUUCUUUUGUCCCGGAAUAAACCCCUGAUUUCUAUCGGGGCUGAAUGUACGGGAAGAAUAAGGGACGGCUAACUUCGUGCCAGCCGCCGCGGUAAUACGAAGGUCCCAAGCGUUAUCCGGAUUUAUUGGGUUUAAAGGGUGCGUAGGCGGGUUGUUAAGUCAGUGGUGAAAGCCUACAGCUCAACUGUAGAAUUGACAUUGAUACUGACGAUCUUGAGUAUGGUUGAGGAGGGCGGAAUGUGUCAUGUAGCGGUGAAAUGCUUAGAUAUGACACAGAACACCGAUUGCGAAGGCAGCUCUCUAAGCCAAUACUGACGCUGAUGCACGAAAGCGUGGGGAGCAAACA
rnacentral:rRNA from 1 species